ensembl:lncRNA
AAAGACAGAUAGGGUAAAGACAGAUGGGGUUAGGGUAAAGACAGAUGGGGUUAGGGUAAAGACAGAUAGGGUAAAGACAGAUGGGGUUAGGGUAAAGACAGAUAGGGUAAAGACAGAUAGGGUUAGGGUAAAGACAGAUAGGCCUUAAAUCCCCGUCCUGUUCUGCUUUUUUCCCAUCGUAAUGUAUUUAUUCUACAUUUUCAUCCAUUGCAUCACUUUUACUCCAAAUUCAUUUGGACUGCAAAAAUUCGAAGGCGGAGUCAACACAAAUCGAUCCGUCCGGCACCAGCAGCGUGAUUUACUGCACCCUGAGUGUGAGUUAAUACGGCUGAAGGGCAGGUAUUACAUUUUUCAGCACACUGUUUCCGCACAAAAAAAAAAAAAAAAAAAAAAAAAAUCCCAUUAAUGAGAAGGUUUUCUUAAAUUAUAACUGUUCAUUACAGCAGUGGGGUUAGUGUUCUA